rnacentral:lncRNA from 1 species
UACCUUUAACAGAGAAGAAAAGCUGUUUAGAGCUUUAGAAAAGACUGUGAGGCUUUGUGUGAAGAACAUUUCACUCUGUCUUCAACACAUACAGGAUGCCAUGCCCCUGGCUCUGCAGAGUGUGAUGGACCUUCAGGAGAUUUCAUACAACAAAGACGAUGAGAUGGACUAUUCUGAGACCCUAAGUAAUGCCUUAAAUUCGUGUCAUGACUUUGUAUUAUUAUUUCAUAGUAGUAUUUCAAGAAUUAUAGAGAAGAUAGACUGAUCAUCUUGAAAGUGGC